rnacentral:rRNA from 1 species
GAUGAACGCUGGCGGCGUGCCUAAUACAUGCAAGUCGAGCGAACAGACGAGGAGCUUGCUCCUCUGACGUUAGCGGCGGACGGGUGAGUAACACGUGGAUAACCUCCCUAUAAGACUGGGAUAACUUCGGGAAACCGGAGCUAAUACCGGAUAAUAUAUUGAACCGCAUGGUUCAAUAGUGAAAUACGGUUUUUCUGUCACUUAUCGAUGGAUCCGCGCCGCAUUAGCUAGUUGGUACGUUAACGGCUUUCCAAGGCGACGAGGCGUAGCCGACGUGAGGGGGUGAUCGGCCACACUGGAACUGAGACACGGUCCAGACUCCUACGGGAGGCAGCAGUAGGGAAUGUUCGGCAAUGGGCGAAAGCUUGACGGAGCAGGGCCGCGUGAGUGAUGAAGGUCUUGGGAUCGUAAAACUCUGUUAUUAGGUAAGAACAAAUGUGUAAGUAGCUAUGCACGUCUUGACGGUACCUGAUCAGAAAGCCACGGCUAACUACGUG